UCAUCGGAGAGUUUGAUCCUGGCUCAGGACGAACGCUGGCGGCGUGCCUAAUACAUGCAAGUCGAGCGCGGGAAGCUAAUAGAUCUCUUCGGAGUGACAUUAGUGGAACGAGCGGCGGACGGGUGAGUAACACGUGGGCAACUUACCUCUUAGACUGGGAUAACCUCGGGAAACCGGGGCUAAUACCAGAUGACCGAUUCGCUCGCAUGAGCGAAUUGUAAAAGUUGGGUUUCGGCCUAACACUAAGGGAUGGGCCCGCGGCGCAUUAGUUAGUUGGUGAGGUAAUGGCUCACCAAGGCGACGAUGCGUAGCCGACCUGAGAGGGUGAUC
rnacentral:rRNA from 1 species